rnacentral:pre_miRNA from 1 species
AUUUUACUCCCUCCGUCCGGAAAUACUUGUCAUCAAAAUGGAUAAAAGGGGAUGUAUCUAGACGUAUUUUAGUUCUAGAUACAUCUCUUUUUAUCCAUUCUGAUGACAAGUAUUUUCGGACGGAGGGAGUAUUAU